GAUGAACGCUGGCGGCGUGCCUAAUACAUGCAAGUCGAGCGAACAGAUGAGGAGCUUGCUCCUCUGACGUUAGCGGCGGACGGGUGAGUAACACGUGGAUAACCUACCUAUAAGACUGGGAUCACUUCGGGAAACCGGAGCUAAUACCGGAUAAUAUAUUGAACCGCAUGGUUCAAUAGUGAAAGACGGUUUUGCUGUCACUUAUAGAUGGAUCCGCGCCGCAUUAGCUAGUUGGUAAGGUAACGGCUUACCAAGGCAACGAUGCGUAGCCGACCUGAGAGGCUGAUCGGCCACACUGGAACUGAGACACGGUCCAGACUCCUACGCGAGGCCGCAGUAGGGAAUCUUCCGCAAUGGGCGAAAGCCUGACGGAGCAACGCCGCGUGAGUGAUGAAGGUCUUCGGAUCGUAAAACUCUGUUAUUAGGGAAGAACAAAUGUGUAAGUAACUAUGCACGUCUUGACGGUACCUAAUCAGAAAGCCACGGCUAACUACGUG
rnacentral:rRNA from 1 species